UACGGCGGCCAUAGCGAAACGGGAAACACCCGGUCCCAUACCGAACCCGGAAGUUAAGCCUUUCAGCGCCGAUGGUACUGCAACCGAGAGGUUGUGGCAGAGUAGGACGCCGCCGGAC
rnacentral:rRNA from 1 species